AUUGAACGCUGGAGGCAGGCUUAACACAUGCAAGUCGAGCGAGCGGCGGACGGGUGAGUAAUGUCUGGGAAACUGACUGAUGGAGGGGGAUAACUACUGGAAACGGUAGCUAAUACCGCAUACAAUCAGAUGUGCCCAUAUGGGAUUAGCGAGUAGUUGGGGUAAUGGCUAACCUAGGCGACGAGCCCUAGCUGGUCUGAUAGGAUGACCAGCCACCCUGGAACUGAGACACGGUCCAGACUCCUACGGGAGGCAGCAGUGGGGAAUAUUGCACAAUGGGCGCAAGCCUGAUGCAGCAAUGCGGCGUGUGUGAAGAAGGCCUUCGGGUUGUAAAGCACUUUCAGCGAGGAGGCGUUACUCGCAGAAGAAGCACCGGCUAACUCCGUGCCAGCAGCCGCGGUAAUAC
rnacentral:rRNA from 1 species